rnacentral:rRNA from 1 species
GAGUUUGAUCCUGGCUCAGGAUGAACGCUGGCGGUAUGCCUAACACAUGCAAGUCGUACGAGAGUUUUUAACUCAAGUGGCGGACGGGUGAGUAACACGUGAGAAUUCACCUUUAGGAGGGGGACAACAGCUGGAAACGGUUGCUAAUACCCCAUAUGCUUCUGAGUGAAAUGAAUUUAUUCGCCUAAAGAGAAGCUCGCGGCUGAUUAGCUUGUUGGUAGGGUAAGAGCCUACCAAGGCGACGAUCAGUAUCUGGUUUGAGAGGACGAUCAGACACACUGGAACUGAGACACGGUCCAGACUCCUACGGGAGGCAGCAGUGGGGAAUUUUCCGCAAUGGGCGAAAGCCUGACGGAGCAAUACCGCGUGAGGGAAGACGGCCUAUGGGUUGUAAACCUCUUUUUUCAGGGAGGAAUAAAUGACGUGUACCUGAAAAAUAAGCAUCGGCUAACUCCGUGCCAGCAGCCGCGGUAAUACGGAGGGUGCAGGCGU